rnacentral:rRNA from 1 species
CAAGCGGUGGAGCAUGUGGUUUAAUUCGACGCAACGCGAAGAACCUUACCAGGUCUUGACAUCCCGAUGCUAUUCUAGAGAUAGAAAGUUACUUCGGUACAUCGGUGACAGGUGGUGCAUGGUUGUCGUCAGCUCGUGUCGUGAGAUGUUGGGUUAAGUCCCGCAACGAGCGCAACCCUUGUCCUUAGUUGCCAGCAUUAAGUUGGGCACUCUAAGGAGACUGCCGGUGUUAAACCGGAGGAAGUGGGGAUGACGUCAAGUCCUCAUGGCCCUUAUGUCCAGGGCUACACACGUGCUACAAUGGCCGGUACAAAGGGCUGCAAUACCGCAAGGUGGAGCGAACCCCAAAAAGCCGGUCUCAGUUCGGAUCGGAGUCUGCAACUCGACUCCAUGAAGUUGGAAUCGCUAGUAAUCGCGGAUCAGCAUGCCGCGGUGAAUACGUUCCCGGGCCUU